UGUGUUGAUGUUUUCCAGGUUGGUGGAGGUUCAUCAUCGUCUCUGUGGGUUUAACAACACUCAUCAUUAUCGUUGUUACAGUCAACAUAUGGACGAGAACUAAAGGGAACAAACCACAGAUGGAUAACACCAGUGUGCACAGUGAUGAAGAUGAUGGUACAGUGACGUAUGAAAACCAUGGAGACCCUUCUGUUUCUGUCAGACUCCACUGAUCCACUGUCAGACUCUGUGGAAGCUUCCUCUUCUUGUGCUGAAGCCUUCACUGAUUCCAGUAGCUUCUACACAACCAUCAGGGAACCAACCACAGAAGAAGUAUGUGCUGUAAAA